CCUACGGGUCGCAGCAGUGGGGAAUAUUGGACAAUGGGCGAAAGCCUGAUCCAGCCAUGCCGCGUGUGUGAAGAAGGCCUUCGGGUUGUAAAGCACUUUCAGUGGGGAAGAAAGCCUUGGGGCUAAUACCCUCGAGGAAGGACAUCACCCACAGAAGAAGCACCGGCUAACUCCGUGCCAGCAGCCGCGGUAAUACGGAGGGUGCGAGCGUUAAUCGGAAUUACUGGGCGUAAAGCGCGCGUAGGCGGUCUGAUAAGCCGGUUGUGAAAGCCCCGGGCUCAACCUGGGAACGGCAUCCGGAACUGUCAGGCUAGAGUGCAGGAGAGGAAGGUAGAAUUCCCGGUGUAGCGGUGAAAUGCGUAGAGAUCGGGAGGAAUACCAGUGGCGAAGGCGGCCUUCUGGACUGACACUGACGCUGAGGUGCGAAAGCGUGGGUAGCAAACAGGAUUAGAUACCCUAGUAGUC
rnacentral:rRNA from 1 species